UACGUAGGGUCCGAGCGUUGUCCGGAAUUAUUGGGCGUAAAGAGCUCGUAGGCGGUUUGUCGCGUCUGCUGUGAAAUCCCGAGGCUCAACCUCGGGUCUGCAGUGGGUACGGGCAGACUGGAGUGCGGUAGGGGAGAAUGGAAUUCCUGGUGUAGCGGUGAAAUGCGUAGAUAUCGAGAGGAACACCUGCGGCGAAGGCGGGUUGCUGGGCUGACACUGACGCUGAUGCGCGAAAGCUAGGGGAGCGAACGGG
rnacentral:rRNA from 1 species